rfam:Monodelphis domestica cont3.071480, whole genome shotgun sequence.
GGCUGGGUAGCUCAGUGGAUUGAGAGCCAAGCCUAGAGGUGGGAGGUCCUGGGUUCGAAUCCAGCCUCAGCCA